rnacentral:rRNA from 1 species
GCCCUAUACCCGUUAAGGCAUGAUGGCCUGUACCCGAAACCGACACAGGUGGGGUGGUAGAGAAUACCGAGGGGCGCGAGAUAACUCUCUCUAAGGAACUCGGCAAAAUGGCCCCGUAACUUCGGGAUAAGGGGUGCCACCGCAAGGUGGUCGCAGUGAAGAGGCCCAGGCGACUGUUUACCAAAAACACAGGUCUCCGCUAAGUCGCAAGACGAUGUAUGGGGGCUGACGCCUGCCCAGUGCCGGAAGGUUAAGGAAGCUGGUCAGCGUAAGCGAAGCUAGCGACUGAAGCCCCGGUGAACGGCGGCCGUAACUAUAACGGUCCUAAGGUAGCGAAAUUCCUUGUCGGGUAAGUUCCGACCCGCACGAAAGGCGUAACGAUCUGGGCGCUGUCUCGGAGAGAGGCUCGGCGAAAUAGAAUUGUCUGUGAAGAUGCGGACUACGUGCACCCGGACAGAAAGACCCUAUGAAGCUUUACUGUAGCUUGGUAUUGUGCCCGGGCUCUGAAUGCGCAGGAUAGGUGGGAGGCUUUGAUCCAUUGCUUGUGGGUGAUGGUGAGCCAACGGUGAGAUACCACUCUUUCAGAGCUAGGGUUCUAACGGUCACCCGUCAUCCGGGGACCGGACAGUAUCAGGUGGGCAGUUUGACUGGGGCGGUCGCCUCCUAAAAGGUAACGGAGGCGCGCAAAGGUUUGCUCAGGCUGGUUGGAAAUCAGCCGACGAGUGUAAAAGCAGAAGCAAGCUUGACUGUGAGACCUACAAGUCGAACAGGGACGAAAGUCGGCUUUAGUGAUCCGACGGUUCUGAGUGGAAGGGCCGUCGCUCAACGGAUAAAAGUUACUCUAGGAUAACAGGCUGAUCUCCCCCAAGAGUUCACAUCGACGGGGAGGUUUGGCACCUCGAUGUCGGCUCAUCGCAACCUGGGGCUGAAGUCGGUCCCAAGGGUUGGGCUGUUCGCCCAUUAAAGCGGUACGCGAGCUGGGUUCAGAACGUCGUGAGACAGUUCGGUCCAUAUCCGGUGCAUGCGCAGGAAUAUUGAGAGGAUUUCUCCCUAGUACGAGAGGACCGGGAGGAACGCACCUCUGGUGUGCCAGUUAUCGUGCCAACGGUAAACGCUGGGUAGCCAUGUGCGGAGUGGAUAACCGCUGAAAGCAUCUAAGUGGGAAGCCCACCUCAAGAUGAGUAUUCCCAUGGCGUUAGCCAGUAAGGUCACGGGAAGAACACCCGUUGAUAGGCUCUACGUGGAAGCCGGGUAACCGGUGAAGCGGAGGAGUACUAAUAGACCGAGGGCUUGACC